ensembl:lncRNA novel transcript
CAGCUGACUCUCCAGCAGGGCCCGGAGAGGAUUGGGACAGACCUAGCAUCACGGCGGAACUCCCAAGCCUCAGGUUCAGAGUCACAGAGGAGUAUACAGCUGGGAGCCAGUGAACCUGAGGGAGGCCAUGGAAAAGACAAGGACUUCCCUCUCCUGCUGACCCAAAGGCCCAUCUUCCGAAUUCUGGAACCCCCUUUUCAUCAGGCGCUGCCCAUGUCGAUCAUCUUGAUGACAUCAUCAGCAGAGUUAACCAGAUGCUCCUGCAGCCCCACCACUUGCACCUGUUGCUUGCCGUCCUCCAGCACGCGCAGCUUGGCCUUCUUGUUGAGCAGGUCAAACAGCUGUGCCAGGCAGGGGGAAUGAGGCUAAGGCCACUGGGCACCCGGCACCCCACCCGACUGCUUCCUCCUACUAGCCUGCCCAGCUCGGACAAGAGCCAGCAGCAGGAAAGGCAGAGAAUACGAACUGAUGGAUGUCAGCCUAGCAGAGGUCAAUAUACUUGGGAUCUGA